AAAGAAGAGAAAAUGCAUCAAAGAGCAGCAGAGUCUACUGGAACAAUCACUUCUCUGUUGAAAUUUUACUCCAUCAUGAUUCUUCCAGCAUCAAGGUAAAGCAUCUCAAGCAUGAUAAAGAAACGAUGGAUGCUAAGAACAAUCUGACUUGUGAAGAACCAGAAGAGAUACCAUCGCCCAAGUUGAGUGAUUGGCUGAAGAGCUCAACAACUCCAUGGCGCUCUCCAAUCCGGCAUGGCUCUAUGAUGAUGAUGCCUUACACUCCUCUGGCUUGGCGGUUC